rnacentral:rRNA from 1 species
UACGUAGGGCGCAAGCGUUAUCCGGAAUUAUUGGGCGUAAAGAGCUUGUAGGCGGUCUGUCGCGUCUGCUGUGAAAGUCAGGGGCUCAACCCUUGAAAGCCGGCCGAUACUGUCGGACUAGAGUCCGGAAGAGGCAAGUGGAAUUCCCGGUGUAGCGGUGAAAUGCGCAGAUAUCGGGAGGAACACCAAUGGCGAAGGCAGCUUGCUGGGACGGUACUGACGCUGAGGCGCGAAAGCGUGGGGAGCAAACAGG